rnacentral:tRNA from 1 species
GAGGGUGUAGCUUAGCAAUAAAGCACAUGCUCAGCAUGUCCAAGGCCCUAGGUUCAAUCCCCAGUACCAUCA